rnacentral:rRNA from 1 species
AGUGAACGCUGGCGGUAUGCCUAACACAUGCAAGUCGAACGGCAGCACAGUAAGAUCUUUCUCUUACGGUUGGCGAGUGGCGGACGGGUGAGACAUACAUCGGAAUCUACUUUUUCUUGGGUGAUAACGGGGGACAACUUACGCUAAUACCUCAUACGACCUACGGCUGAAAUCAGUAGAUCUUCACACCUUUCGCGUUUCAUUGAGACGAUGUCGGAUUAGCUAGUUGGCGUGGUAAAGUCCCACCAAGGCGACGAUCCGUAGCUGGUCUGAGAGGAUGAUCAGCCACACUGGAACUGAGACACGGUCCAGACUCCUACGGGAGGCAGCAGUGGGGAAUAUUCGACAAUGGGCGAAAGCCUGAUCGAGCAAUGCCGCGUGAGUGAAGAAGGUCUUCGGGUUGUAAAGCCCUGUUGUUGGGAAAGAAAAACAGCAGGUUAAUCUCCCGAUGUUCUGACGGUACCCAAAGAGUAAGCCCCGGCUAACUUCGUG